GGUUUUGCCUUUAGCCUCAAAUAUGGAAAAUCAGUAGGUGAUAAAUCACAACUCACCUGCUCAAACUUUCAUGGAAGAACACUUGACAAUGCAACAGGCUUUUUGGAUUCUUUUUUGAUCCUGGAGAACAAAAUAUCAUGCGCGACUUACAUGAAGAGUGCAGACAGGACCUACUAUCCAAGGAGAAGGCUCAAUGCUUGCCAACAACUUGGAAUGACUUUGGCCUAUUAGAGUUCCAUAAGAUUGAUGGGAGACCUCUGAGCAGCUACAAACUGACUGACAUGGCUUGAAUUUUGAAAGAACUAUGAAGGCAAGCUGUGGGAAAGUAUACUUGAGAAAUUGUUAAAGUCUCCUUGAACAGAACACACGUUUCAAUCCAUUUUAAAGUCUAAAGACAGAACUGAAAAAACAUUCAUUAUCUCAGAUCUCUGCAAGUGAAGAACUGAAACAACUGAGCACCGUGACAAAUAUUUCAAAACUUUCCCAAUCAUCAUAUCAACCAGCUCCCUUUCAGAAUAUUAAGAUGGAUUUUGACAAGAAAAAUGAUUAAAAACACAAUCUUAUUUCCAUGGGAUUGGCCAUUGAUUCUUUUUAGUGAUUCAAAUUUAAUUUGUCACCCAUUUCUUUUUUCAUGUAAAAUAUAGUGCCAAGACAUUCAGAAUUGAUGUAUUUCCAGGAAACAUCCUGAUGGACAUAUAUCAUUAAAUUAAAAUGUGGUACAUUGGUGUUUAUAAAUCAUUUUAGUUCUAAUGUAAAUGCAAAUUACUCAUAUGUGGAAAAUCUGUAGGAUAAUCAUAGCCAUUUCUUCUAAUGACUAUCAG